rfam:Triticum aestivum genome assembly, contig: Triticum_aestivum_CS42_TGACv1_scaffold_328196_4BS
AUACUACUCCCUUCGUUUCAAAAUACUUAACUUUCAUUUAUUUAAAAAUGAAUGUAUCUAUAUAAAAAACAUGUCUAGAUACAUCUAUAUUUUAACAAAUGAAAGGCAGGUACCGUGGAACGAAGGGAGUAGCAU